rnacentral:lncRNA from 1 species
CUGACUACAAAACCAACCCACUGAGAUUAAGAGGACUGAGCAUCUCAGCGGCCAUUAUCUCUUGGAGGUGAGAGUACUCCAGAGAUGCAAGGCAGGAAAGACAACUUCAGAUUUAUGGCUCCUGACUGCCAGAGCCCUAUUUACUUAAAGCUCAUGAAGAAGAUGACAUCAUUGAGCUGUAAGUAUGGAGUUUAAAUGAAUCCUGAACAUGUUCCUGAGCCUGAAAGAGA